AUUUUAUUAUAUUUAUUUUUUGUUUAUUUAAUUAUUUAAUAUAAAUAAUUUUAUUGUAUUUUUGUCUUAGUAUAUUUUAUAGAAUUGAUUUUUUAAAUUAUAGUUUAUUGGUAAUGUAAGUGUUUUAUGAAAUAUUAUUUUAAAUUUUUUUAAGUAGAUUUUAUUUAUUGUACCUUUUGUAUCAGGGUUUAUCAAAAUUUUAGUAUUUAUUUUACUUGUCUCGAUUUGGGUUGAUUUAUAAAUAAUUUAUAGUUAAUGUAUCAUAAUUAUUAUUAAAUUAUUUAUAGAAAUGAGAUGUUAAUCGUUUCCCAAGAUAUCUAGUUUCUUAAGAAAAAAUUUAAUUUUUUAAAGUUAUUUGUUUUUAUUUAAUUUUUUAACUAAAAAUAUUAACUUAUUUAUUCUUUAAGGGAUAAGCUUUGAAGUUAAUAACCUAUAAUUUAUUUUAUAGAAAUAUAAUAGUAAGCUUUAAACCAGCUAUCUUUAAGAUUACGUUUUAGUUCAUUAUUUUUUAUUUUGAUUUUAUAAAUAUUUUAGGUUUUUUAUUAAGAUUAUUAAUUUAAUUUUAAAAUUUUUGUAAUAAUGAUAGAAUUAGUAUAUUUAUUUGUAUGAAAUUUUUACCUUGUGAACUUAUUAUAAGGAACUAGGCAAAAUUGAUUUCCGCCUGUUUAUCAAAAUCAUGUCCUCUUGCUUAUAUUUUGAGGUCUGGCCUGCUCACUGAGCGUAUUUUUAAAGAGCCGCGGUAUUUUGACCGUGCAAAGGUAGCAUAAUCAUUAGUCUCUUAAUUAGUGGCUGGAAUGAAUGGCUUGACGAGAAAUCAACUGUCUCUUAAUAAAUUUUUGAAUUUAACUUUUGAGUCAAAAGGCUUAAAUUCUUCUUUAGGACGAGAAGACCCUAUAGAGCUUGACAUUUUACUUUUAUAUAGUUUUUUGUUUGUCUUUCUAUAUUUAAUGAUGAUGUUUUGUUGGGGUGACAUGAAGAAUAGAUAAACUCUUCAUUAUUAUAUCAUUUAUUUAUGUUUGUUAUUUUGAUCCAUAAUUUAUGAUCAUAAGAUUAAGUUACCUUAGGGAUAACAGCGUAAUUGUUUUUGAGAGCUCAUAUCGACAAAGCAGAUUGCGACCUCGAUGUUGGAUUAAGAAAAAUUUUGGGUGCAGGAGCCCAAUGAUUAGGUCUGUUCGACCUUUAAAUUCUUACAUGAUCUGAGUUCAGACCGGCGUGAGCCAGGUCGGUUUCUAUCCUAAGAUUGUUAAUCCAUAUUAGUAUGAAAGGACCAUAUGGUUAAAAUAUUUUUUGUUAUAUUGAUUAAUAUUAAUUUAUUUA